rnacentral:rRNA from 1 species
AUUGAACGCUGGCGGCAGGCUUAACACAUGCAAGUCGAGCGGAGAUGAGGUGCUUGCACCUUAUCUUAGCGGCGGACGGGUGAGUAAUGCUUAGGAAUCUGCCUAUUAGUGGGGGACAACAUUCCGAAAGGAAUGCUAAUACCGCAUACGUCCUACGGGAGAAAGCAGGGGAUCUUCGGACCUUGCGCUAAUAGAUGAGCCUAAGUCGGAUUAGCUAGUUGGUGGGGUAAAGGCCUACCAAGGCGACGAUCUGUAGCGGGUCUGAGAGGAUGAGCCGCCACACUGGGACUGAGACACGGCCCAGACUCCUACGGGAGGCAGCAGUGGGGAAUAUUGGACAAUGGGGGGAACCCUGAUCCAGCCAUGCCGCGUGUGUGAAGAAGGCCUUAUGGUUGUAAAGCACUUUAAGCGAGGAGGAGGCUACUGAGACUAAUACUCUUGGAUAGUGGACGUUACUCGCAGAAUAAGCACCGGCUAACUCUGUGCCAGCAGCCGCAGUAAAAC